AGUGCAAUAAUCUCAGGUCGCACUGAAUUGAAAUGCAGCGACGAGAGACUGUCGCACUCU
rnacentral:pre_miRNA from 1 species